rnacentral:rRNA from 1 species
GACAGAGGAGCCAAGCGUUGUCCGGACUGACUGGGCGUAAAGCGCACGCAGGCGGCUGAGCACGUGGGGUGUGAAAGCGGCGGGCUUAACUCGCCGAGGCCAUCCCAUACGGCACAGCUGGAGCCAUGCAGAGGCCCGUGGAAUUGCCGGUGUAGUGGUGAAAUGCGUAGAGAUCGGCAGGAACACCCAGGGGGAAACCAGCGGGCUGGGCAUGUGCUGACGCUCAAGUGCGACAGCGUGGGGAGCGAACCGG